rnacentral:lncRNA from 1 species
GGGAAGGGAACGAAAAAAUCUGCGUCCAUAAAAAAAAAAUGCGUUCGUAUAAUGGUAUGAUGUCGUCGUCUGCGUCUGAGUCGUCCGAAGACACAUUUGGUGUCCGGACAAUAACUUUACUUUAAGAGAAUGGAUCUCUAUGAAAUUUGAUAGAAAAAAAGGUUCAAUACCUCAAAAGGAAGCUUGGGAUUGAUUUUGGGGAUA